rnacentral:rRNA from 1 species
AUUGAGCGCUGGCGGAAUGCUUUACACAUGCAAGUCGAGCGGCAGCGCGGGGGCAACCCUGGCGGCGAGCGGCGAACGGGUGAGUAACACAUCGGAACGUACCCUAUCGUGGGGGAUAACGAAUCGAAAGAUUCGCUAAUACCGCAUACGACCUGAGGGUGAAAGCGGGGGAUCGCAAGACCUCGCGCGAUUGGAGCGGCCGAUGUCGGAUUAGCUAGUUGGUAGGGUAAUGGCCUACCAAGGCGACGAUCCGUAGCUGGUCUGAGAGGACGACCAGCCACACUGGAACGGAGACACGGUCCAGGCUCCUACGGGAGGCAGCAGUGGGGAAUUUUGGACAAUGGGGGCAACCCUGAUCCAGCCAUUCCGCGUGAGUGAAGAAGGCCUUCGGGUUGUAAAGCUCUUUCGGCAGGAACGAAAAGGCGGGCUCUAACAUAGCCUGUCAAUGACGGUACCUGAAGAAGAAGCACCGGCUAACUACGUGCCAGCAGCCGCCGUAAAAC